rnacentral:rRNA from 1 species
UACGGGGGGGCAAGCGUUGUUCGGAAUUACUGGGCGUAAAGGGCUCGUAGGUGGCCAACUAAGUCAGACGUGAAAUCCCUCGGCUUAACCGGGGAACUGCGUCUGAUACUGGAUGGCUUGAGUUUGGGAGAGGGACGCGGAAUUCCAGGUGUAGCGGUGAAAUGCGUUGAUAUCUGGAGGAACACCGGUGGCGAAGGCGGCGUCCUGGACCAACACUGACACUGAGGAGCGAAAGCCAGGGGAGCAAACGGG